UCCAAGAUAAUAACAAGAAGCAUCUGGGUUGGUCAUCCAAAUCUCGCACAAACCGCUGAUGAGGCGUGAGUAUUUGUCUUGUUCUUCUUCAGUCCACGUGGUCCUAUUCGAAGUGAUCUUUAGAGAGAAGGUUUUGUGCCAGUUGAGCGCAACGUUUGCUUCGGCAGAAUAAAGACACUGGCUAACCGCUGGGGCUAGUGGGUCAAUGUGCUUAGAAAUUUCUCCAGUUUUGAAAACAUGCUUUUGGGUAUUUUCUUUAGCGCGGUUGGAUAGAAUCUUUUCCAAUUCUUGUAGACAUAUUGUUUAACGUCGUAAGGUGGUUGAUCAGAAAACUUCUUUCAAGGACGAUUGUCUUGUAGUUUGCUUUCGAGUAGAUCAUCAGGAUAAUCAAUCCUCCAUAUUGUAUUAAAGAUGAACACGGCAAAGAUGUCUUGUAGGAUGUCUUUCGUGAGGUAAUUUCCUUCAAAGCGUUAUUUCGUUUUUCCCCGAAGAAUUCUUGUAAGGACUUCCAUGGUCAUUGUUUUUUUUUUCUGAAGACAGUGUAGAAGCCGGGCACAAUCAAUUUAUAUAUUUUUAUUUACCUUGUCAUAGAAUCGCGUGAUUGGUGGUUGUUUCUCUGUCUUAUUGACAUAGGAGUCACUUUCAAAGCCCUAAAAGUCACGUCACUAUCUGACAUUUUUAUUCACAAGAUAAAUCCAAAUAACGAAUCGCCCACUAGCCAAUGCUGCUCGGUCCACGUGAUUUAAAACAAUACAUUCCUCUGUCACCAAUUUUGUUGUGGUCUUUCUUGACCGUAUUUUGAGAUUUCACUUAACCUCAAAGACAACGAAAACCUACUAUGGGCAUUAGAUUACUGCAUCAGCGCGAGGUCUGGCAAUUUUAUUCCGCGGACGGGUUGAGGCUAUUCUAUUUCCAAUUUUUAAUGCGGCUCAGAAGAAAAACUCAUGAAUGCCCGUAUCUUUGCACAUCGAUCCAUUCGUCUAUGGCUGAAUAUCUUUUCAAGAGCGACACCGAAUUAGUCAAGAACUACACAGAUCUGAAUCAAAAUCGCUCCUGUCACUUAUGCUUCAAAGAUGGGGGACAUUGCCCUUGCUUUCCAAGACAGAAAAGACGAUAUGGAGGGAGUGAAAACCCGACUUGGUACACUCGAGAACAACGACCAAAAACGCUCACCAAAGACGACUUGUUCGACAUCCUGUUUGUCACCUCGCGUUCUACGAAGUCGUUGAAAAAUUCGUCGUCUCCUCAGCGUGGAUUGAAAUGGUCAUCAAAGUCAUGGACUGGAACAAGAUUAGAGGCUGGGAACGAAUUAUAUUUAGUACAGACGAAUCCAAACUCCCUCUCAUUUUUAUCAGAAAUGCAGACCAUGCGUCUAUUGUGCUCGACCUCUGUGCCAUGCUCCAGUGCUCAAAAGAUCCGUUUAGUCCCACUCCCGCCGAAUUCUACAGGGAUACCUGGUGGGUCAAACGAUCCAUGACAUAUUGUUACAUCUUCCCUCACAAUGAUGAAUAUUGCCGAAAACAUUUUACCUGGCUCACUUCAGGUCCAGAGAAGCAAGCCAAAAGCAGAAAACAGGAUUCAUUCCCUUCGCAGGUACAAAUGCAUGAUGUCUUGCCAUGUUUUUUAUCAUGCUGUCGUCAUAUGUUUGUCAGGAGCCAAUCAAGAAGACGCGUGAUUUUUUUUCUUUAAAAAUUAUGUAUUUUGCUACUACUUUGUUACCAAUAAACGUUUUUGUUGUUA